AACGAACGCUGGCGGCAUGCCUAACACAUGCAAGUCGAACGAAGGCUUCGGCCUUAGUGGCGCACGGGUGCGUAACGCGUGGGAAUCUGCCCCUCGGUUCGGAAUAACAGUUAGAAAUGACUGCUAAUACCGGAUGAUGACUUCGGUCCAAAGAUUUAUCGCCGAGGGAUGAGCCCGCGUAAGAUUAGGUAGUUGGUGGGGUAAAGGCCUACCAAGCCGACGAUCUUUAGCUGGUCUGAGAGGAUGAUCAGCCACACUGGGACUGAGACACGGCCCAGACUCCUACGGGAGGCGGCAGUGGGGAAUAUUGGACAAUGGGCGAAAGCCUGAUCCAGCAAUGCCGCGUGAGUGAUGAAGGCCUUAGGGUUGUAAAGCUCCUUUACCAGGGAUGAUAAUGACAGUACCUGGAGAAUAAGCUCCGGCUAACUCCGUGCCAGCCGCCGCAGUAA
rnacentral:rRNA from 1 species